rnacentral:rRNA from 1 species
CAGUAGCCGCGGGAAUACAGAGGGUGCAAGCGUUAAUCGGAAUUACUGGGCGUAAAGCGCGCGUAGGUGGUUUGUUAAGUUGGAUGUGAAAUCCCCGGGCUCAACCUGGGAACUGCAUCCAAAACUGGCAAGCUAGAGUAGGGCAGAGGGUGGUGGAAUUUCCUGUGUAGCGGUGAAAUGCGUAGAUAUAGGAAGGAACACCAGUGGCGAAGGCGACCACCUGGGCUCAUACUGACACUGAGGUGCGAAAGCGUGGGGAGCAAACAGGAUUAGAUACCCGCGUAGUCCCUGUCUCUUAUAC